GUGCCAGCAGCCGCGGUAAUACAGAGGUGGCGAGCGUUGUUCGGAUUUACUGGGCGUAAAGGGUGCGUAGGUCCCACUGUAUGUCGGAUGUGAAAGCCUGGGGCUCAUCUCCAGAAUUGCAUUCGAAACUGCAGAGCUAGAGUACAGGAUGGGAGAGCGGAAUUCUUGGUGUAGCCGUGAAAUGCGUUGAUAUCAAGAAGAACACCGGUGGCGAAGGCGGCUCUCUGGAAUGUUACUGACACUGAGGCACGAAAGCUGGGGGAGCAAACAGGAUUAGAUACCCUGGUAGUCC
rnacentral:rRNA from 1 species